UUUUUACCAGCUUCCAAUGAGAGCUUUUGAAAAAUUCAAGAUUAAAAGAAAAUUCAAUCUCUAUAGAUGUUUCACGUAAUAGAAACUUAUCUUGUGAUGGUGCUUUAUCUCAAGCAGAGAUUGAUGCAAUGUUCUUUACAAUUGCUUGAAUAAGAUAGCAUAUUAAUUCUGUCUUUAUUUCCUCUACUGAUUUCUUCGUUAUUUGAUUUUAUGUCUUAUGUGCCUUUCUAGGGUUCUAGCACGUUCAAGUUCCAAAAUAGCGGGCGUAUCUUUGAGGAAAUCCUUCACGGUAUGUAAACCAGUUAAUUAACUAACAGGUAUUCCAAUUUUCUGUUCAUCCCAUGUGUUUUUUUUUACUUAAUCAGUUCUUGAUUUAAAGGAAUACUCUUUUUACUGGUGUUAGUUAAUGUUCUUGAUACCCUAACAUGACUCUUUUGAAGAAAUCAGUAGAGGAAAUAAAGACAGAAUUAAUAUGCUAUCUUAUUCAAGCAAUUGUAAAGAACAUUGCAUCAAUCUCUGCUUGAGAUAAAGCACCGUCACAAGAUAAGUUUCUAUUACGUGAAACAUCUAUAGAGAUUGAAUUUUCUUUUAAUCUUGAAGGUCCACAUAACAAAAAUAUGAAAGUUGCUAAAAUAUAAAACCAUUAAUGUGUUUUCAUCCAAGAGCUUAAGCAUCUCGGAGGGUUGGUUCUGCAUAGUAUCAACAUCUCUAUGAUCAUCUCUAAUCUCUAAUUUAAAGGAAUGCUACUGUUAAGAGCAGAAACACACAAGCAGAAAAGGCAGCAAAAGCAGACAUAGAGCAACAAGCAGCAAGGAAGCAACAGGGGAAUGUAGAAACAAGCUAGGAGACAAAGAAGGGAGAAGGACAAAGGCUAAAGAGGGAAAUUCACAAACCAUAGUGCUUCAGGGACUUUGUGAGCAAGUAGUGGAGCAGGGGAUGAGCUGGCAGUAGUGCUCCUGAGAGUAGUGGUGCUCCUUGAAUCACUUUGUUGGCUGCUAGGUACCAAUCUGUUAGGAUUAUCCUGCUUUUUGCAGUCUUGCAAUUUUCAUUCCUCCAAGGCAAUAUGCCAUCAGACCAUUAGGGAAUUGUUAGAUGAAUACCAGUUUGAAUGUUCUAUAAAUACUAACAAUGUACUCAAAAUAGUUAAGCAAUAAUACAGUAUUCCUUUCCUUACCUUUUUCUUAGGAGACACCUAGGCCUCGAAUGCUAGGAAGUUCAUUCUGUUCUUAACAAAUCUGAU
rnacentral:lncRNA from 1 species